GCCACCACGAAAGAAGUGCCUUUUGCCUCCCGUCAUGAUUCUGAGGCCUCCCCAGCCAUGUGGAACUGUUUGAGGCACAGAGCUGUAUAUACAAUAACAGUGAAAUUGAUCCCACUACUAAUUAUGACAAAAAUGAUCUUCCACGUAAACAGGUGGUGAAGCUCCUUAUGGUCCUGACCCUACAGUUCCUGUCCCAUGACCAGGGCCAGAUCACCAAGGAGCUGCAGCAGUUCGUCGUCAGUGGCAGCCCCAUGCGAGCACCCGAGGAAGUCACAGGUGCCCAGGCCGGAGUGCAGUGGCGUGAUCUCGGCUCGCUACAACCACCACCUCCUAGCAGCCUGCCUUGGCCUUCCAAAGUGCUGAGAUUGCAGCCUCUGCCCAGCCGCCACCCCGUCUGGGAAGUGAGGAGCGUCUCUGCCUGGCCGCCCAUCGUCUGGGAUGUGAGGAGCCCCUCCGCCCAGCAGCCGCCCCGUCUGAGAAGUGAGGAGCCCCUCAGCCCGGCAGCCACCCCAUCUGAGAAGUGAGGAGCCCCUCCACCUGGCAGCCACCCCGUCUGGGAGGUGAGGAGCGUCUCCACCCGGCAGCCACCCCGUCCGGGAGGGAGGUGGGGGGUCAGCCCCCGCCAGCCAGCCACCCCGUCCGGGAGGUGGGGGGCGCCUCUGCCCGGCCGCCCCUUCUGGGAAGUGAGGAGCCCUUCUGCCCGGCCACCACGCCGUCUGGGAGGUGUACCCAACAGCUCAUUGAGAAUGGGCCAUGAUGACAAUGGCGGUUUUGUGGAAUAGAAAAGGGGGAAAGGUGGGGAAAAGAUUGAGAAAUCGGAUGGUUGCUGUGUCUGUGUAGAAAGAAGUAGACAUGAGAGACUUUUCAUUUUGUUCUGUACUAAGAAAAAUUCUUCUGCCUUGGGACGCUGUUGAUCUAUGACCUUACCCCCAACCCUGUGCUCUCUGAAACAUGUGCUGUGUCCACUCAGGGUUAAAUGGAUUAAGGGCGGUGCAAGAUGUGCUUUUUUAAACAGAUGCUUGAAGGCAGCAUGCUCCUUAAGAGUCAUCACCACUCCCUAAUCUCAAGUACCCAGGGACACAAACACUGCGGAAGGCCGCAGAGUCCUCUGCCUAGGAAAACCAGAGACCUUUGUUCACUUGUUUAUCUGCUGACCCUCCCUCCACUAUUGUCCUAUGACCCUGCCAAAUCCCCCUCUGUGAGAAACACCCAAGAAUGAUCAAUAAAAAAAAAAAAAAAAAAAA
rnacentral:lncRNA from 1 species